AUCAAUGGAUGAGGAGCAAAGCUCAUAAGUACCCCGCUGCAACGGCUGCAGACCGGUAGCGGGUGGAAAGGGUGUUUUGCCGAAACGGGAUCCGGUUCUCAGGCUGUUUCCCGUUGGACUGCAUAUGAACAAUAUGCAGGCUGUCAUUAUUCUCGUAAUAAUGGAGUGCUUCCACUUGU
rnacentral:ncRNA from 2 species